AACGAACGCUGGCGGCAUGCCUAACACAUGCAAGUCGAACGAGACCUUCGGGUCUAGUGGCGCACGGGUGCGUAACGAGUGGGAACCUGCCCUUAGGUUCGGAAUAACUGCCCGAAAGGGGGGGUAAUACCGGAUAAUGUCUUAGGACCAAAGAUUUAUCGACUUUGGAUGGGCCCGCGUUGGAUUAGCUAGUUGGUAGGGUAAAAGCCUACGAAGGCGACGAUCCGUAGCUGGUCUGAGAGGAUGAUCAGCCACACUGGGAGUGAGACACGGCCCGGAGUCCGACGGGAGGACGCAGUGGGGAAUUUUGGACAAGGGGCGAAAGCCUGAUCCAGCAAAGCCGGGGGGGUGAUGAGGGCUUUAGGGUUGAAAACCUCUUUUUCCCGGGAUGUUAAUAGCAAUCCCGGGGAAAAAACCCCCGGCUAACUCGUU
rnacentral:rRNA from 1 species